CCGCUCUGACGAGAGAGUGCGCGUGCGCAGUGUGUUUUCGCUGUAAUUCUGGGCCGUGUUCCGGAAGCCGUGUAAGACAAAGGAAACGAGAGGCGGAAAAAAGGAGGACGCUUCCCGAAGCUCUGUCUUCCUCCAGAUGUUGGACUAGUUUUCAUACUAGAUCUUCUCAUGGCAUCAUUAAGGAACUUCACAUUCUUCUCACACUGUUCAUGGAAGGUUCCUGGAACUCCCACAGCAGCAAGGAAACUUCACUUGUAGGAGUCCUUAGCACAUCUGUAAUGUUUUAUUGGCCAAAAUGUGAUACAUCUCCAUUUCUGGAUCAAUCACUGUGGUCAAGUGCAAGACGCUCUGCAGGACUCAACCUGGGGAUGAGGUCUGUCCACUCCAUCUACAUGGUCACUUUGUACUGAGGUUGGAGUCUCACUCUGUAAGGACAGAUCCUGGACUGGUUGGCUGCAUCAAGAUACAUACCACUUUGUGGGGAUCUAUCUGAGUGAGCAGUACACCUAGAAAAUCCCUACGUCUCAUGACUCACAUUUUCUCAACUUUUGCAAGACUAAUGUUCAUGUUAUGUGAUAUGAACCAAGCUCUUAAUGUUUUUUGUGUCAUAUUAACAUGUGAGUUAGGGAGAUAAUCCCUUAAUGAAAAAACAUAUUUAUUUUGCUACUAUAAGAACUUGAAGUUUUGCAAAGGAAAAAAAAAUGAGUUAUUUGAGGACCUAGCUGGCCUGAAAUUGAAGCAUCAGAUAAAUUAAAUGUUUCUCAUUUAAA